AUAACAAUACAGGACUCUUUCGAGGCCCUGUAAUUGGAAUGAGUACACUUUAAAUCCUUUAACGAGGAUCUAUUGGAGGGCGAUUGACCCGUGCGUGCUGCAGCUGAAACUACACUAUCGCCUGCUGCUGCUCGCACAGUCUCUCCAG